CCCAGAAAAGGCAAAAAGACAAAAAAAAAAAAAAAGAUAUGGAAGAAUUUUGAAUUUAUUAAAAAUGUAUUUGCUUUUACUUCAAGUUGUAUGACUUGAGUAAAUCAACAUUUAGAGCUGAUUUUCUCAUUGAACAAUGCAGAUAAUGAUAAUUGUUCUAUUUACAUCCAGUGGUUGUGAAAUCAAAUAAAAUAGUAUGUGGAAUAUUAAUCAAGCAUGGUGCUAGGUAAGCAGUAAUGUAGACAGACAUAGUACCUCCUUUUAAAGCACUUUUAGUAUAGUGGAGGAGAAUGUCACACUAGUCAUUUUGUUAACAGCUAUUUAACCUUCUAUGAGCUUAAAUUCUAAGAAAAAAGUACAAGGAUCCUGGGCCUAGUCUUGGCUCAGGUAAAGCUGCCCUGGAAAAGAGAAAUUUAAAGGAGAUAUCAAUUGAAGGGGUGUAGGAGACCACUUCUAGCAAAGGGAGUAAUAUUGCAAAGUCUCAAAGUUUUGAAGAAACCGAAAAACAAAUAAACAAAAACAAGUCUGCUGGCAAAGAGCACCUUUUGCCUUCACUAUAGUCCUGUGAGUUAAUAGAUAAGAAAACUGAGGCUCAGAGUAGAUAAUUUGUAUAGGGUCUUACUGUUUGUAAAGGGCAGAUUCAUCUUUUGAACAUAGGUUGUUCAGCCUGACUCUAAAAUCUUUAUUUUCUCUUCCUAUGUCAUUCUUUCUCUCAGCCGCUUUCCCUAAGAGGUUACUGUGCUCCCAAACACAUCUUCUCUUGUUAUUUCUCAGAGGGUUUAAUAGCUCUCCCUUUGGCUAAUUGUGGAACCAUCAUUCAGAUUCUUCCUUUAUACCAGGUUAAUAAGAAGAGAUACUCAUACAGGGUAUAUCUCUUGGUUAUAUUCUGUAGAACUCUAGGGAUCCUGAAAGCUUUUUCAGGGGUAGGAAUUUGGUGGAUUACAGGGCUGAUAAGAAACUGCGGUGUUGUUUGUAGCCUCUCAUUUAAAAAUAGCCUCGUGGUGCUCAUGGGGUGCUUCAGUAGUGCCAACAUUUCCAUCAGCCUUUGCUCCCUACUCUCAGGACACUCCAGAUAAACAAAGAUCUGAAUUAUAAACAGUAUGCUUCUGCUAUAGCCUCCGCCUACUCCCACAAACCCGUCCUGUAUAGAAAUCCCAAUGCAACCACUAAUAAUGCAUUUUACUGGAAGAAUGAAAUGGGUUAAAAAGGUUCCAUUGCUUUAAAAGUUUGAAAAACACUAUCCUAGUUUAUAUGAUAUUCAAGGGAACUCUUUCCUAAAUGAGGAAUUUUUCUGAUCCUUAGUAUCUGUUUGUUUAUCUCCUCUGCCUGCAUUGACACCUCCAAACAUCUUUGUAAGUUUGGAGGGAUUUUUGUUUUUGCUCUUAAAGCUUCUGGAAAUAGUGUAGACUGGUACAUCGGAGUCCAGUACUUGAAACCUAGUGGAAAAGAAAACAAAACAAGAAACUCCUAUGCCUUCCUAUCUCAGAAAAUUUUAUGAUAGAGGAAAUAAAUUAAUUCAGGUUCAAUGUCAUUAUUGUUUUAUGUAAGAAGAGACAUUUUAAUGGAGAUAACCUAGUUAAAUCUUUUAUUGUCAGAGUUUAUUAAGCAGUUUUCCUUUUAAAAUAUUUUUCUAAGCAAUCUGUUAAACUCAGUUUUUCUUGACCUCUUAAAAGGCACUACAUAAACGGGGGCGGGGGGCGGCACUAUUUUUAGGCCCUGUCUAAUACUCACUAUCUAACUGGUGGUGCUUUUCUUGGAAUUUGUGAAGAUUGUUGUAAAGUAACAUAGUUCUAGGUAGAUGGAGGUUGAUGUUUUAUUCUAAUUGUUGUAAAGUUUUGUAUUGUUUGUUUUCAGAGGGUUUCACUUGGUAGAGGCUGAUUUACUUGCAGUGCGAAGUAAUAAAUGAUUCCCUCCACCACCCCUCUUUGUCCUCAGUUUUAUGUGAAACACUGAGGUAAAUGUUUACCCUAUGACUUUUUCUUUUAAAAGCACCCAGAGACGUACGUUUUAGGGGCUUAUGCUGGAGUACUUUGUCAUUAUCGUUCUAUUGAUCUUUCCUUUCACGUUGCCUAAACACAGCUGAGUUGGUAAGAGGAGCAAAGACAACAAGACAGUGCUGCCAAGUAGACAGGAAGCUGUAGUGGACCUAGCGAGCAGGGGCGGCAGAGCACACCCUCCGUCCAAUCAGCUGUGAGUGCUGUUGCUAUGUGCGCUCUUACUCUGCUGCCUUUGUGAAAAACCUUACACAGAGGGAAGCGGAAUCAGCACCCACUGCUCAACAUUUGUUUUAACCACUGCAGACAUCUGGAUCCCUCAGUUACUGACUGUAUAGCUACUGACAGCCAGGAGGCAACUUCUUUUAUACAAGGAUUCCAAUAUGGUUUUCAGUGGAAACAAAGGGCUUCACAGAGAAGAUACUCUAGAUGAAUAUUUUGAAUAUGAUGCAGAGGAGUUCUUGGUCUCUUUGGCCUUGUUAAUAACAGAAGGACGAACACCUGAAUGUUCCGUUAAAGGUCGGACAGAAAGUUUCCAUUGCCCUCCAGCACAGUCCUGUUACCCAGUAACUGCUAAACAUGAAUGUAGUGACAAGCUGGCUCAGUGUCGUCAAGCCAGACGAACUAGGUCUGAGGUGGCAUUGUUGUGGAAGAAUAACCUUCCAAUCAUGGUGGAAGUGAUGCUACUACCAGACUGCUGCUACAGUGACGAUGGACCCACCACAGAAGGAAUUGACCUAAAUGAUCCGGCAAUUAAGCAAGAUGCAUUAUUAUUAGAAAGAUGGAUAUUGGAGCCGGUUCCUCGACAGAGUGGUGAUCGAUUUAUUGAAGAAAAGACUCUUCUAUUGGCUGUCCGCUCAUUUGUGUUUUUUUCUCAAUUAAGUGCUUGGCUGAGUGUUUCUCAUGGUGCUAUUCCACGAAAUAUUCUUUACAGAAUCAGUGCUGCCGAUGUAGACUUGCAGUGGAAUUUUUCACAGACUCCAAUUGAACACGUGUUUCCUGUUCCCAAUGUUUCUCACAAUGUGGCCUUGAAAGUCAGCGUUCAGUCCUUGCCCAGACAAUCUAAUUAUCCGGUUUUGACUUGUAGUAUUCACACUAAUAUUGGCCUUUAUGAGAAAAGAAUUCAAGAAAAUGAACUUAAAACCCAUCAGCACCGAAGUUCUACUGAAGAACAAUGUAGUAUAAACAGUUCAUAUCAUCUGUGUAGCAAACAAACUUGGACCGUGGCACCCAAAAGUGUAUUAUUACAUGCAAAAAAUGGGACAACUUCAGAAUAUACUACAGCUGUCAAAAAUGUCAAGUUAUAUCCAGGCACUGGCAAUAAAUCUGACUAUGGAACAUCUCAAGGCAAUAUUCUGGGCUUCAGGGGUACGGGAGAUAAAAAGUCACAUGAAACAUCAAUGAGAACUUUAAAAUCAUUUUCAGUGAUUGAUUCCAGUGUCUCUAGCCACCAGAGUUCCUGGCAGUCAGUUGGUGAAACUAAUCCCUUAAUAGGUUCUUUAAUUCAGGAGCGACAAGAAGUUAUUGCAAGAAUAGCUCAGCAUUUGAUUCAUUGUGACUCAAGCACUUCACAUAUUUCAGGACAUCCCCUUAAUACACAAGAAUCUAGUUCACUUAAUUCAAAACUUUUCCAGGUUUCACAAGAAAAUGAAAAUGUGAGAAAAUGUAAAGAUACUUUCUCCAUUUCUUUUGGUAGUCCAGAGCUUACCUCCUCAGAAGACAUCAAUGAGGGGAAAAUUCGAGUAAAACCAGAAACUCCUCGAAGUGAUGGGUGCAUUUCUAACGGUCUUCAUACUCGUCAUUCUGUUGGUGAGACUAAUCCUUUGAUAAGCUCUUUACUCCAGGAGCGGCAAGAUGUCAUUGCAAGGAUUGCUCAGCACUUGGAGCAUAUUGAUCCAACGGCAUCUCAUGUGCCCCGGCAGUCAUUCAAUACGCAGGACUCUAGCUUGCUUCCUUCUAAAGUGUUUAGGAGUUCUUACGAAGACAAAAAUUUGUUGAAGAAAAACAAGGAUGAUGCCUCUAUUUCCAUUUCUAAUACAAAAUUUUCUUUGUUAGAUGACAUCAGUGAAGGGAAAAACUUAAUACCUAAUAAAUAUUUUAGCUUUUUAAAAUGCAAUAGUAAGGUCAAGACUUCUUUGAAACCUCAAACAGGAAGAAAUUUGUGUCAGGAAAAUCCUACGGAAAUCCAAAGUACAUUUCAAGAGACACAGAACAAAGCCACUUGUUUAAUAACUCCCUCAGAUAUGUCUCAUUGCAAAGAAAAUAAUUUAGAUUUGACAAUCAGAUUGGAAAACACAUUUUCUGACUGUCAAUUUAAGGAGCAAGAAAUUAAUGGUGAAAUUGAUAAACAGUAUUCAAAUUGUAACACUGUUGAUAAACAGAUUUGCACAAAUAAGUAUGAGGACAAAAUAAUAACAAAUGAAAAUUGUGAUCCAGAGUCUAUUAAUAAUCACCAACUUGAUAAUUCAAAAAAUAAUGACUCGAAAGUAAAAGUUACUGUGUCUGGGUACUUGAACAAACGUGAAAAAGAGUGCUCAAAUAAAGACUCAAAAAAGCCUAAACCAUGUGAACAAAGUACACAACUCAAUAGUAUAGAAAAUUAUCUCCAUAAAGAUAGUGAAGGUUUCAAAUGCAAAAAGCCAGACCAGUUAAAAAAUGAACAGAAUAAGAAAGAAGAUCCAAUUGAUGAAAAAUCUCAAAACUGUCAGAGAAAGAAUAUAAAAGACUGUUUGUCUACCUGUGAACGACUGAAAAAUACAGAGGUGUUGCAGAGAACGGUACCAUUUAAACAUUCAAGUGUCUGGCAGAAACAUAAUUUUCAUUCUUUGGAUGGAACCUCAACCAGAGCCUUUCAUCCUCGAACUGGAUUGCCUCUUCUUUCAAGUCCUGUUCCUCAAAGAAAGACACAGUCAGGUUGCUUUGAUCUGGAUUCUUCAUUACUACAUCUGAAAAGCUUAUCAUCUAAAAGUUCUCGACCAUGUUUAAACAUUGAAGAUGAUCCAGAUAUUCAUGAAAAACCACUUCUGAGUUCUAGUGCUCCACCUAUAACAAGUCUUAGUCUCUUAGGAAAUUUUGAGGAAUCUGUCUUGAACUAUCGUUUAGAUCCUCUCGGCAUUGUUGAUGGUUUUACUGCCGAGGUAGGGGCAAGUGGUGUUUUCUGCCCCACUCAUUUGACUCUUCCAGUUGAAGUGUCAUUCUACAGUGUUUCUGAUGAUAAUGCUCCCUCUCCUUAUAUGGGUGUGAUUACUUUAGAGUCCCUUGGUAAAAGGGGUUAUCGAGUACCUCCUUCAGGAACAAUACAAGUGGUAUGUGUUUUAUAGCCUACAAUUGCAAUAAUCAUUCUCUCACAUACAUAUAGAACUUAGCCCUUUCUCCUGCUACUGCUGCUGCAACAACUUUGCUCUUGUGAAAGUGUGAGUCACUGGAAAGCUAGCUGUCAUUUGUCAUAAUAAUGAGGCAUAAACCCAGAGGCAGCACAUUUACCCUUGUUUGAAGACUGCCAACUCUACUGGCUAUUUUAAAUCUGAAAUUUGGGUAUGUCUUUCAUUCCUUAUAUAAGUUUAAUUAUGUAUAAACAUGGCUUGAACUCCUCUCUUGCUAAUUGUUGUAGUUGUUAAAUGUUUUAGCCUUAAUCUUAAGACUCACUAGAUUUCAAAAGUUGGAUCAUAAUAUUGAUAUAUUUCUCAUUUUGAUUCAGUGAGUGAUGUCCAGUGCCACGGAUGAGCUUCUGAAAGCAUGGGCACCAAGUUACCUAUUGAUGUGUUGGUAAUUUGGUUAAAGUCAAAUCACCAGCUUGGAAUUUUGUUUAAAAAUUAGUACUUUAAAAAAUAAUACUCCUUCAGUUAUUAAUGGCCAAGUAUCAGUUGAAUUUAAUUUUGGUUAUGAUACUGAUGAUAAUAAAAAAAAAAUCUAGUGUCACUGCAGCUUUUGGAAUGAAUCCAACUGUGAGAACAUGAAGUAUUUAUUACUUAGCCUACUUUGUAGCUAAUAACAAUGAACUUUAUUUUCUAAACUUGGAAAAAUUUCCAAAAAGGAAAAUGUCUCUUUUUUGAGAACAUAUUUUAAAUUUUAUAAUUACCCAAUGUACCCCAAACACCAAAGUCUAAUUUUACCAAGCUUCUAUUUAAAAAAAAAAUUCUAUUUAUUCACUGUUAAAAUGUGAGGAAAACUAAAAUUCUAUUUUGAGUAUUUUACAUUGGAUAUAUUUUAAUGAAGUUAAUGUUUAAAAUAAUUGAACUGGAAUGUUUUAAUCCAAUGAAGGUACAUUUUGCUUAAUCUAGUAGAACUAUUUCUUAAAAUAGGAACAAGAUUGAAAGUUAUAUAUUUUCAAUUAUUAAUAUGAGAUUUGUAACUAAAGAUUUUGAUUUGUUACAGGAUAUUAUAUUACUGUGGAUAACAAAUUAAAUUGGAACUUUUUAAAAAUAUUGAAUAUAAUUUCAUAAACUUUUGAAAUUUUAUCAACUUUAUUCCCCCAAACUGAAUUAUAUCCACUAGGAUUAAAUUAUUAUUAAAAAGCCUAUUUUAUUACUGACACAAUCAUUUUGAGUCAAAUCAACAAAUCACUGUUUUUAAAGAAUAAUUUCUAUAUUGUUUCUUCAGACCUUAUUUAAUCCUAAUAAGACUGUGGUGAAGAUGUUUGUUGUGAUAUAUGACCUACGAGAUAUGCCAGCCAAUCAUCAGACAUUCCUCCGACAAAGAACUUUUUCUGUACCUGUUAAACAAGAGAUGAAGAGAAGUGUUAAUAACGAGAAUAUCCGGCAUACAGAAGAACGGUUAUUACGCUACCUCAUACAUCUGAGGUUCCAGAGUUCUAAAUCUGGAAAGAUCUACCUCCAUAGAGAUGUACGGCUCCUGUUCUCUAGAAAGUCAAUGGAAGUUGAUAGUGGUGCUGCAUAUGAACUCAAAUCGUACACUGAAUCGCCAACAAACCCUCAGUUUUCACCAAGAUGUUAAUAAGGCGUGACAAUUUAAAGUAUUUGCUCAGUACCCAAAUUUGAAAGUAAAAAUUAGCCUAGAAAGGAGUGUAUCAAAUUAAUGAGCAGGAGAGUAGAUCCUUUCCUGUUAUCCUGGACCAGUUUUUAUUAAAGGAUUUCUGGAAUGAGAUCCACAUAUUCCAAGCAGACUGGAAACACUCAUGUCCGAAUCCUUUUUGUACUGUUGAAACCACUUCAUUGGACAUGUUGCAAUAGCAAAGCCCCUACCCCACCAGUUAGGUUAGUGUUUACACGUUUUAUUUCUCAGUUAUUUAAUAUUUAAUGUUUUCCUUAAUACUCAAGUGAUGUUUGUCUCUAGUGUUCUAAUGUAGCACAAAUCCUGUGUAAAAUCAUACUAUGUAUUUUUGACAUUAAUGUUGAAAUUGGAAAUAUAUGCACAAGUCUUUUAAUUUUGUGUGAUGGGUUUUAAGUGCUAUUCAUUUAAGUUAUUGAAAAUGAGAAUGAAAUGUUGAGCUUCUUUAAGAUUAACGCACUAUGCAAGCAUGUGUACUUUUUAUAUCUCCCAGGUUUAGUUUUUACAAUACCCCAUCUAGGUUGCUGUCUCACACAGUAAUCCUUUCACAUGCUGUAUUGGCAGUGCAGUGCGGACUAGGCUGCUUCACACUCCCUUUGCAAGUUCAGAUCAUCAUGCGAUUCAUAUUCCUUCUAGAAUCCCUUAUCCCCAGAACAGCUCUAUUUUUUCCUUAGUCACUACUACAGAGGCUUUACAUUAAAUUACUGUCUCAUGCUAGAUAAUUUUUGCAAAUUGUUAAAAGAAUAUGUAUUUGAAAACAAAUUAGUAUUUAUAUUGUAAAUAUAUGAAAAAAACAAAGAAA